AAUUAUACCGUGAAACUGCGAAUGGCUCAUUAAAUCAGUUAUCGUUUAUUUGAUAGUACCUUACUACAUGGAUAACCGUGGUAAUUCUAGAGCUAAUACAUGCUAAAAACCCCGACUUCGGAAGGGGUGUAUUUAUUAGAUAAAAAACCAAUGCCCUUCGGGGCUCUUUGGUGAAUCAUAAUAACUUAACGGAUCGCAUGGCCUUGCGCCGGCGACGGUUCAUUCAAAUUUCUGCCCUAUCAACUUUCGAUGGUAAGGUAUUGGCUUACCAUGGUUUCAACGGGUAACGGGGAAUUAGGGUUCGAUUCCGGAGAGGGAGCCUGAGAAACGGCUACCACAUCCAAGGAAGGCAGCAGGCGCGCAAAUUACCCAAUCCCGACACGGGGAGGUAGUGACAAUAAAUACUGAUACAGGGCUCUUUUGGGUCUUGUAAUCGGAAUGAGUACAAUUUAAACCCCUUAACGAGGAACAAUUGGAGGGCAAGUCUGGUGCCAGCAGCCGCGGUAAUUCCAGCUCCAAUAGCGUAUAUUAAAGUUGUUGCAGUUAAAAAGCUCGUAGUUGAACCUUGGGCCUGGCUGGCCGGUCCGCCUCACCGCGUGUACUGGUCCGGCCGGGCCUUUCCUUCUGGAGAUCCCCAUGCCCUUCACUGGGCGUGCGGGGGAACCAGGACUUUUACUUUGAAAAAAUUAGAGUGUUCAAAGCAGGCCUUUGCUCGAAUACGUUAGCAUGGAAUAAUAGAAUAGGACGUGCGGUCCUAUUUUGUUGGUUUCUAGGACCGCCGUAAUGAUUAAUAGGGACAGUCGGGGGCAUCAGUAUUCAAUUGUCAGAGGUGAAAUUCUUGGAUUUAUUGAAGACUAACUACUGCGAAAGCAUUUGCCAAGGAUGUUUUCAUUAAUCAGUGAACGAAAGUUAGGGGAUCGAAGACGAUCAGAUACCGUCGUAGUCUUAACCGUAAACUAUGCCGACUAGGGAUCGGGCGAUGUUUUUAUCUUGACUCGCUCGGCACCUUACGAGAAAUCAAAGUUU
rnacentral:rRNA from 1 species